rnacentral:rRNA from 1 species
GUAGGUCCCGAGCGUUGUCCGGAUUUAUUGGGCGUAAAGCGAGCGCAGGCGGUUUGAUAAGUCUGAAGUUAAAGGCUGUGGCUCAACCAUAGUUCGCUUUGGAAACUGUCAAACUUGAGUGCAGAAGGGGAGAGUGGAAUUCCAUGUGUAGCGGUGAAAUGCGUAGAUAUAUGGAGGAACACCGGUGGCGAAAGCGGCUCUCUGGUCUGUAACUGACGCUGAGGCUCGAAAGCGUGGGGAGCGAACAGGAUUAGAUACCCUGGUAGUCCACGCCGUAAACGAUGAGUGCUAGGUGUUGGAUCCUUUCCGGGAUUCAGUGCCGCAGCUAACGCAUUAAGCACUCCGCCUGGGGAGUACGACCGCAAGGUUGAA